rnacentral:rRNA from 1 species
AUUGAACGCUGGCGGCAGGCCUAACACAUGCAAGUCGAGCGAGCGGGGGACGGGUGAGGAAUGUGUGGGAAACGGGCUGAUGGGGGGGGGUAAGUACAGGAAACGGUAGCAAAUACCGCAGACGAUCAGAUGUGACCAGAGGGGGUUCUCUAGUAGGUGGGGUAACGGCGCACCUAGCCGACGAUCGCUAGCUGUUCGUAGAGGAUGACCAGCCACACUGGAACUGAGACACGUUCCAGACUCCUACGGGAGGCAGCCGUGGGGAAUAUUGCACAAUGGGCUCAAGCCUGAUGCAGCCAUGCCGCGUGUGUGAAGAAGGCCUUCGGGUUGUAAAGCACUUUCAGCGGGGAGGCGGUACACGAAGAAGAAGCACCGGCUAACUCCGUGCCAGCAGCCGCGGUAAUAC